AGUGAACGCUGGCGGUAGGCCUAACACAUGCAAGUCGAACGGCAGCACAGUAAGUGCUUGCUCUUACGGGUGGCGAGUGGGGGACGUGAGAGGAAUAUAACGGAAUCUACUUUUUCGGGGGGGAUAAGGUAGGGGAAGUUACGCUAAUACCGCAGACGACCUACGGGUGAAAGGGGUGGAUAGUCUGACCGUGCGCGGAUGAAUGAGCCGAUGUGGGAUUAGCUGGUUGGCGGGGUAAAGGCCCACCACGGCGCCGAUCCGUAGCUGGUCUGAGAGGAUGGUCAGCCGCACGGGAACUGAGACACGGUCCAGGCUACUACGGGAGGCCGCAGUGGGGAAUAUUGGACAAUGGGCGCAAGCCUGAUCCAGCCAUACCGCGUGGGUGACGAAGGCCUUCGGGUUGUAAAGCCCUUUUGUUGGGAAAGAAAAGCAGCAGGUUAAUACCACGCUGUUCUGACGGUAACCAAAGAAUAAGCACCGGCUAACUUCGUG
rnacentral:rRNA from 1 species